CAAAAAAGGGGAUUUAAAAAAUAAAAAAUUCCUCACAAAAUUCAAAAAUCAGCGCCAAAUGUACGCCCAAACCGACUUGCCCAAACCAACCUGAAAAACCCAGAAGCUAACGGCUAUAAAACUAAUACGCGGAGUCUCUGUCUGUCUCACCCGCCCUUAUUUCUUCCUUCUUCUCCAGCGAUCUCAAAUCUCUCCUCUCUCUCUCUCUCUCGCUCAACGAAUUUCAAGUUUCAAAUUUUCAAACCUCUGGUCGUCUGAUCUCAAAUCUCUAAUCGAUCAAUGGAGUUUCAGCGUUCAUCGUUCUCGUUCCGAUCUUCCGACUACUGGGUCCAUGUGACGCUUCAGGGUUUCCAAUCUCCGGCGGACUCUAAGUCCCAAUUUGUCGGCGAGCUUUCUCUCCGUCAGGACCAAAUUUUUCAGAAACGCUUCCACGCCUUUAUUCUCGAUGAAUUUCCACUGGGUCCUGAUCGCUACGCUACGCUCCGUUUCGCUCCCCGCCAACUCCCACUCCCCGAGUUGCGCGCUCACUUACGAUCUCUCUCCUCUUCCCUCAACCUUGAUCCUACCAUCUACGAAGCAUUAGCCCCCCGGAUCAAAUCCAUGGCCCGGAAAUUGGCAAACCCUAAUGGCUCCAUGGGCUUUGUUAUGGUGGCUACGGUUAAAAUCCUGACCAUUGAAUAUGUCGACCAACUGUUUGAUGAUAUGUCCGACUCAAUGGCUUUGCUUUCGAUUGGUAGUAGUGAUGGCGGUUCAACUUCGUCGUCAAUUUCAUUGGACUACGUGGUUGAGAAAUUGGGGGCAGAGAGAUAUUUCGAAAGGGGUGACGGCGACCUGGGUUCUUGCAGUGUAUGUUUGGAGGAAUUGUCUGGUGGGACCGCGAGUGAGCUCAUUCGGAUGCCGUGCUCUCAUGUUUAUCACCCAUCUUGCAUCCUUCGCUGGUUCAACAUGGAUAAGAAGACGUGUCCCAACUGCCGAUAUAUACUCCAUAGAUCUUCCAGUAGAAAAAGAGCAUGAUGGUAUGGCGAGUUCUGGUUCUAAAGAAGCAAGGGACUGAAAAGACGAGUUUUCAAAGUCGCUGACAGUAUGUUCAUCUUGCUCUUGCACUUUCUGAUCGCUUUCUACGUAAUGGAGCUUCAGAUCAAUUACUUCAGCUAAUCAUAGAAUGCAGGGAAAAAAAUCUGGCAAGUCUGGACACUCUCGGGGUGGUAGGGAAAUUAAUAUCUGGAGUAAUGGUUGACAAUAUUGCAUAUAUGGUAACUGGAUGCUGCGUUGCCAACUACCUCACAAUGUGCAGCUGCUAACUGCCUCAAAGUGAUUCCAUUAGGAAGGAGGUACUGCUUUUCUAUUUGACUAAUUUUUUGGAUACAUUGACUAUUACUGUUAUGUGAAAACACGUUUUUAAGCAGUAAUUUACAAAAUUAUAACUUAUUACAAUGUGAAAUUUAUUAUGCACCCUUUCUAAAGAGUAAAGAUUAUGUUGGGAUGUAAAGUUCAGUUUGGACUAAGUUUGGUAAGAUGCUUAUUUACAAGACUGACAUUGACAUUCAAAUUUCCAUAUAAUUCUCACGUCGCCCUGUCUAAAAAUUAUCUGACGAGUGAAUGUGUCAUUAUAUGGGAUAUACAGUAUAAAUUUCUUUAGUUUUAUUGUCAAUAAAAUUUGGAAGGCAGCCCACUAAAUUUUUAACAUGAAAAUCCUUCCCAGGGCAUAGAAGAUCAGAUCAACGUAUUUGUUUUCUUUAACAUGAAAUAACUAAUGUGGGUGUUUUUUU